GAUGAACGCUGGCGGCGUGCCUAAUACAUGCAAGUCGAGCGAACGGACGAGAAUCUUGCUUCCCUGAUGUUAGCGGCGGACGGGUGAGUAACACGUGGAUAACCUACCUAUAAGACUGGGAUAACUUCGGGAAACCGGAGCUAAUACCGGAUAAUAUUUUGAACCGCAUGGUUCAAAAGUGAAAGACGGUCUUGCUGUCACUUAUAGAUGGAUCCGCGCUGCAUUAGCUAGUUGGUAAGGUAACGGCUUACCAAGGCAACGAUGCGUAGCCGACCUGAGAGGGUGAUCGGCCACACUGGAACUGAGACACGGUCCAGACUCCUACGGGAGGCAGCAGUAGGGAAUCUUCCGCAAUGGGCGAAAGCCUGACGGAGCAACGCCGCGUGAGUGAUGAAGGUCUUCGGAUCGUAAAACUCUGUUAUUAGGGAAGAACAUAUGUGUAAGUAACUGUGCACAUCUUGACGGUACCUAAUCAGAAAGCCACGGCUAACUACGUG
rnacentral:rRNA from 1 species